AGAAGGCCAAGAGGAAAAGCCAGGGAGAGGUUGGGGGAGGCAGCACUGAGAACACAGGUGCAUCACGGGUAGCACUUUAGCCACAAAUGAACAUAAUGUAUCUUCCUUGGCUAAUUUCAAGUCAUUCUUCAACCCUCAGCUAAACGGCCUUUCUUGGGGUGUUCUUCAGUGGCCUUCUGGAUUAAGGUAGAUUCCCAUUAACUACUUGUUUUAUAAUAUCUGACAAUCAAUGCUGUUUAUGGAAGCCUUCCUCUGAAUCCGGCACCGCUCCAGGAAAUAUCCCCAUAAUCUCUGACUUCUGAGCCUCCAGCCCCUGCUCUUGGCAACUACAACCUACAUAGCUACAUAGAGAACGAAAGCUGGAGAGUGAUGAUGAGUCAAGCCUUUGAGACCCCCAGUAGAGCUGAUGGCUGGACCCAGCUACCCUCUGCAUCUUCCCAAGUGAUGCUUCUGCCACACUCAACUGUCUGCAGUUCAGCCUCUGCCACACUCAAGUGUCUGUGGUUCAGCCUCUGCCACACUCAAGUGUCUGCGGUUCAGCCUCUGCCACACUCAAGUGUCUGUGGUUCAGCCUCUGCCACAUUCAACUGUCUGCGGUUCAGCCUCUGCCACACUCAAGUGUCUGCGGUUCAGCCUCUGCCACACUCAAGUGUCUGCGGUUCAGCCUCUGCCACACUCAAGUGUCUGCGGUUCAGCCUCUGCCACACUCAACUGUCUGCGGUUCAGCCUCUGCCACACUCAAGUGUCUGCGGUUCAGCCUCUGCCACACUCAAGUGUCUGCGGUUCAGCCUCUGCCACACUCAACUGUCUGCGGUUCAGCCUCUGCCACACUCAAGUGUCUGCGGUUCAGCCUCUGCCACACUCAACUGUCUGCAGUUCAGCCUCUGCCACACUCAAGUGUCUGUGGUUCAGCCUCUGCCACACUCAAGUGUCUGCGGUUCAGCCUCUGCCACACUCAAGUGUCUGCAGUUCAGCCUCUGCCACACUCAACUGUCUGCAGUUCAGCCUCUGCCACACUCAACUGUCUGCAGUUCAGCCUCUGCCACACACAACUGUGUGCAGUUCUCCACAUCUGGACUACUUUUUUAUGCCCAACAUUGAUGCCUACUAUGCCUCCUACUGGCUCCUAGGUGUGAACCUCUUAUUUGCUGAUGAAAAGAAUGAACAAAUUCAUUCCUUACAAAACCAAAUGAAAAGAAACAACACA